CGGGUGAGUAAUGUCUGGGAAACUGCCUGAUGGAGGGGGAUAACUACUGGAAACGGUAGCUAAUACCGCAUAACGUCGCAAGACCAAAGAGGGGGACCUUAGGGCCUCUUGCCAUCGGAUGUGCCCAGAUGGGAUUAGCUAGUAGGUGGGGUGACGGCUCACCUAGGCGACGAUCCCUAGCUGGUCUGAGAGGAUGACCAGCCACACUGGAACUGAGACACGGUCCAG
rnacentral:rRNA from 1 species